AACCCUAGACAGGGGAUCACUUGGCUCAUGGGUCGAUGAAGACCGCAGCAAACUGCGCGUCGCUAUGUGAACUGCAGGACACA
rnacentral:rRNA from 1 species